rnacentral:rRNA from 1 species
GACGAACGCUGGCGGCGUGCUUAACACAUGCAAGUCGAGCGGUAAGGCCCGUUUCGGGGGUACACGAGCGGCGAACGGGUGAGUAACACGUGGGUGACCUGCCUCUAGCUCUGGGAUAAGCCUGGGAAGCUGGGUCUAAUACCGGAUAUGACCUCGCGGUGCAUGUUGCGGGGUGGAAAGCCUUGCGCGGCUAGGGAUGGGCCCGCGGCCUAUCAGCUUGUUGGUGGGGUGANGGCCUACCAAGGCGACGACGGGUAGCCGGCCUGAGAGGGCGACCGGCCACACUGGGACUGAGACACGGCCCAGACUCCUACGGGAGGCAGCAGUGGGGAAUCUUGCGCAAUGGGCGAAAGCCUGACGCAGCGACGCCGCGUGAGGGAUGACGGCCU